GAUGAAGAACGCAGCGAAAUGCGAUAAGUAAUGCGAAUUGCAGAUCUCAGUGAAUCAUCGAGUCUUUGAACGCACAUUGCGCCCCCUGGUAUUCCGGGGGGCAUGCCUGUCCGAGCGUCAUUGCUGCCCUCAAGCACGGCUUGUGUGUUGGGCCGUCGUCCCCCUCCUAGGGGACGGGCCCGAAAGGCAGCGGCGGCACCGCGUCCGGUCCUCGAGCGUAUGGGGCUUCGUCACCCGCUCCGUAGGCCCGGCCGGCGCUUGCCGACGACCAUCAAUCUCUUUCUCCAGGUUGACCUCGGAUCAGGUAGGGAUACCCGCUGAACUUAAGCAUAUCAAUAAGCGGAGGA
rnacentral:misc_RNA from 1 species